AAUAGAUACCCGGGUAGUCCACGCCGUAAACGAUGAGUGCUAAGUGUUGGGGGGUUUCCGCCCCUCAGUGCUGCAGCUAACGCAUUAAGCACUCCGCCUGGGGAGUACGGUCGCAAGACUGAAACUCAAAGGAAUUGACGGGGGCCCGCACAAGCGGUGGAGCAUGUGGUUUAAUUCGAAGCAACGCGAAGAACCUUACCAGGUCUUGACAUCCCGGUGACCACUAUGGAGACAUAGUUUCCCCUUCGGGGGCAACGGUGACAGGUGGUGCAUGGUUGUCGUCAGCUCGUGUCGUGAGAUGUUGGGUUAAGUCCCGCAACGAGCGCAACCCUUAUUCUUAGUUGCCAUCAUUCAGUUGGGCACUCUAAGGAGACUGCCAGUGAUAAACCGGAGAAAGGUGGGGAUGACGUCAAAUCAUCAUGCCCCUUAUGACCUGGGCUACACACGUGCUACAAUGGACGGUACAAACGGUUGCCAACCCGCGAGGGGAGCUAAUCCGAUAAAACCGUUCUCAGUUCGGAUUGUAGGCUGCAACUCGCCUAC
rnacentral:rRNA from 1 species